UCUGCAACCGCACAGAAGAGGUUUGCAAGACCGCGAAAUCCGCGGCACCUUUGAUGGCGAGUCUAAGUAUUU
rnacentral:sRNA from 1 species